rnacentral:rRNA from 1 species
AGAAGUUACAAAGGGCGAACGGAGGAUGCCUAGGCUUCCGGCGGCGAAGAAGGACGCAGUAAGCUGCGAAAAUGUGCGGGGAUCCGCCAACAGGACUUGAUCCGCACGUAUCCGAAUGGGGGAACCCGGACGAGUGAAGCUCGUCCGCGCCAGCGCGAACCCAGGGAACUGAAACAUCUUAGUACCUGGAGGAAGAGAAAGAAAGAUCGAUUUCCCGAGUAGUGGCGAGCGAAAGGGAAAGAGCCCAAACCGGCGCUGUUACGGCAGUGUCGGGGUUGUAGGAGUCAUACCGCGGACAGUCCAUCAGAAGCGGAACCAUCUGGAAAGUUGGCCGGCACAGGGUGACAGGCCCGUACGCGUAGGGCAUGGACUGUUCGAAUGACCACCUGAGUAGGGCGGGGCACGAGGAACCCUGUCUGAAUCUGCGGGGCCCAUCCCGCAAGGCUAAAUACGACCGGAAGACCGAUAGUGAACCAGUACCGUGAGGGAAAGGUGAAAAGAACCCCGAACAGGGGAGUGCAAUAGACCCUGAAACCGUUCGUCUACAAGCGGUCGGAGCAUCUUAUAGGUGCGACGGCGUGCCUUUUGGAUAAUGAGCCUACGAGUUGUUCCAUUCCUGCGAGGUUAAGCGCUUAAGGCGCGUGAGCCGAAGCGAGAGCGAGUCUGACAAGGGCGUAUAGUAGGAGUGGACAGACGCGAAACCUAGUGAUCUACCCUUGGCCAGGUUGAAGGUGCCGUGACAGGCAGUGGAGGACCGAACCGGUUUCCGUUGAAAAGGAUUCGGAUGAGCUGAGGGUAGGGGUGAAAGGCUAAUCAAACUGGGAGAUAGCUCGUACUCCCCGAAAUGUCUUUAGGGACAGCCUCGUCAGAGCUUCACGGAGGUAGAGCUACUGAUAGGAUGCGAGGGCUUCACCGCCUAUCAAUUCCUGACAAACUCCGAAUGCCGUGAAGUGCUUGACGGGAGUGAGUCGCCGGGUGCUAAUGUCCGGUGGCAAGAGGGAAAGAGCCCGGACCGUCAGUUAAGGCCCCGAAAUGUAUGCUAAGUUGAGAGAACGAGGUGGCUAUGCAGAGACAGCUAGGAUGUUAGCUUGGAAGCAGCUAUUCAUUUAAAGAGUGCGUAACAGCUCACUAGUCGAGCGCAGCUGCGUGGAUGAUAAACGGGCAUCAAGCAUACUGCCGAAACUGCGGACUCGUCGCAAGAUGAGUGGUAGGGGAGCAUUCCGGUCGGCGCCGAAGGUCAGUCGCGAGUCUGGCUGGAGCGUCCGGAAAAGAAAAUGUAGGCAUAAGUAACGACAAUGCGGGCGUGAAACCCGCACACCGAAAGCCCAAGGUUUCCUGAGCGACGUUAAUCGGCUCAGGGUAAGUCGGGCCCUAAGGCUAACCCGAAGGGGGAGGCUGAUGGACAACCGGUCAAGAUUCCGGUACCCGUUAUGCGAGUGAAGGAGUGACUGAGGAGUGGCACCUCCGCCGUCUGACGGAAUAGGCGGUUGAAGCGUGUAGGUAUAUUGCCGGGCAAUACCCGGCGAUGCUGAGGCGUGACAGUACGGCGAGCCUUCGGGCGAGCCGAUAGCGAGGGUAAUCAGACUCACGAGAAAACCUCCGUAGCAUAUUGCAUGACGGCCCGUACCGUAAACCGACACAGGUGGGCGAGGAGAGGAUCCUAAGGUGCUCGAGCGAUUCAUGGCCAAGGAACUCGGCAAACUGACCCCGUAACUUAGGGAGAAGGGGUCCCGCGUAGAGCGGGCGCAGAGAAAUGGCCCAGGCGACUGUUUACCAAAAACACAUGGCUUUGCGAAAUCGAAAGAUGACGAAUAAGGCCUGACACCUGCCCGGUGCCGGAAGGUUAAGAGGGGGCGUUAGACGGAAGCGAUGAAGUCGAGGCGCUGAAUUGAAGCCCCGGUAAACGGCGGCCGUAACUAUAACGGUCCUAAGGUAGCGAAAUUCCUUGUCGGGUAAGUUCCGACCUGCACGAAUGGUGUAACGAUCUGGGCGCUGUCUCAGCCAUGAUCUCGGUGAAAUUGUAGUAGCGGUGAAGAUGCCGCUUACCCGCAACGGGACGGAAAGACCCCGUGAACCUUUACUGCAGCUUAGCGCUGAGACCGGGUAAUUGAUGUGUAGGAUAGGUGGGAGGCUGUGAAGGCGGUACGCCAGUAUCGCCGGAGCCGCUGUUGAAAUACCACCCUUUGGUUAUUUGGUUUCUAACUCAUAAGAGGACACCGCUUGGUGGGUAGUUUGACUGGGGUGGUCGCCUCCAAAAGCGUAACGGAGGCUUCCCAAGGUCCACUCAGCACGAAUGGUAACCGUGCGCAGAGUGUAUUGGUAUAAGUGGGCUUGACUGAGAGACCGACAAGUCGAUCAGGUGCGAAAGCAGGGCAAAGUGAUCCGGUGGUUCUACAUGGUUUGGCCAUCGCUCAAAGGAUAAAAGGUACUCCGGGGAUAACAGGCUGAUCGCUCCCAAGAGCUCAAAUCGACGGAGCGGUUUGGCACCUCGAUGUCGGCUCGUCACAUCCUGGGGCUGGAGAAGGUCCCAAGGGUUCGGCUGUUCGCCGAUUAAAGUGGCACGCGAGCUGGGUUCAGAACGUCGUGAGACAGUUCGGUCCCUAUCUGUUGUGGGCGCAGGAAAUCUGCGGAGGUCUGUCCUUAGUACGAGAGGACCGGGAUGGACACACCUCUGGUGUACCGGUUGUGGCGCCAGCUGCACCGCCGGGUAUCCACGUGUGGUUCGGAUAAGCGCUGAAAGCAUCUAAGCGCGAAGCCGGCUUCAAGAUUAGAUUUCCAUAGAGGGUCGUCGGAGACUACGACGUCGAUAGGCUGCAGGUGUAAAGGCGGCAACGUCAAAGCCGAGCAGUACUAAUAGCCCGACACUUCUGAUAU